CUGAGGCGGAGAGACACUACAGCCGCCGCCAUGACCAGCAGCAUGUGAAGACGCCGGGUUCCUGGAUCUCCCCUGGGAGAGACCCGAAGGAGACCUCGAAUUUAGACUCUCUCUCCGCAUGUCUGGCUGUGUGUCUCUCACCGACUCCCAUGUGCUGCUUGGGCUCUGAUGAAGACAGAAUAUCAAAGGUUCAGUGUGUGGUCACUCGGCUUCAUGAACUUGGGCAGAACUACAUGGGUAGAGGAGUAUGUGACGAAGACUGCUCACCUCCAGACAGAGAGAAAAAAGGAGCUAGGGACAAGAUGCCUCCAAUGACACCUCCUCCAAGUUGGCCCCUGGUACUAAAGGUCUCAGAGUGUCCCCAAAACAGCACCACAAGAUGGGGAUGCAAGCACUAACACACAAGCCGAAGAGGUAGCCCUUUCACUGUCCAAAUGGUCAAGCUUCAGCCAGAGAAGAAGGAACUCUCUCCACAAAGGGAACUUAGCAUGGAGAACUGGUUUCACGAAUAGUAAAAACUGAACUCGCAGAAAGAAUAACACACAGGCAGGCCAAGAGCUGUAACCAUAGGAAGCAAUUCCUCCUCCUGCCUGGGCUGAAGAAACAAAGGGAAGCGGCAGUCCAAGUUGUCUGAAGCCAGCAGCUCAGAGAUGAGGUGCGGUGACAUACGUGUAAUCCCAGUCAGCCUAACCUCUUUGCAAAGCUUGGACCAGUGAGAAAUCAUGUCUCAGAGGAGAGGAUGACACAAAACUCCAGAAACAGGUAGCAGAAGCAGCAGCAGCAAUGUCCUUGCCUCAGGACCAAGAUCUGAAAAGUGCAUGCCAGUUCCUCGAGCAUCGCUGAUGGUUAGCUGUUCUAAAAUGUGCAGGAUGGAAUAUCAAGGAAGUUGAGUUCACGAAGCUUCCAAAGGACAGAUCCUCAAAGCAUGGCAGAAUAACAAACCUUUUCCCUAGCUGGUUCUGGAUGACAAAAGAACUUGCCGGCAAAUGCUGUGUAAGCCAGGACUGAUGGAUGAAGAUAGACUUAACAUGGGAUAGGCUUGCUUUCGGGACCACAUUCCUGCAAUGGCAAAGAAAAGUCCCCGCUGGGCAGAGAAAAGAAGAAAGGGGAGACGGAGACAGCUGUCCUGUAAGCCACUCAUCCUCCAGAAAAGAUGGAGCUGGUUGAAGCUGAGUUGGCUGCACUGUAAUACCUGACACCACUUCCUCCUGACUGCCACCAACAAUCCCGAGGCCUUUCCACCCGCGACGGCUGACAUCGGCCACAAACUAAGGGCAUGGUGGGAUUGUUCUUCCCUUCCCCAUUACCUUCCCCUGGUACAAAAACCUGGCUAGAAAGUGACAUUAUGUCACCAUGCUCUCCGAGCCUGCUGUUGUGUCCUCUAAAUCCAGUCCAUCAUGCCAAGGAUUGCUUCCAAAGUUCUCUAUGGCCAUGGACUUGAAGCACAUUAAUUCCAUUAGCAGGCUAUUUCAGGAAAUAGCAAGCAUAUUUCUUGGAAACAAAUAUAUGUGGUUUAAAAAAAAACAGACACACACACACACACACACACACACACACACACACACACACACACACACACACACACACCCUCAAG